UACUCUCACACUUCCGAUCGUUUGGAUCGGGAGCGGUGGACUUGGGUGUUGCUGCUUUACUGUGGCUCACCUUAAAUGCAGUAGUGCACCUUUCGGUUGGACAUAGUACGGCGUGAUAAGUGUCUUCGCCGGCACCUCCUCACAGAGGGUGGCCGAUCGGGAGCUCUGUGCUUCCAACCGUCUUCGGACAACAACUGACA
rnacentral:misc_RNA from 2 species